rnacentral:rRNA from 1 species
CCUACGGGAGGCAGCAGUCGGGAAUAUUGGACAAUGGGCGCAAGCCUGAUCCAGCAACUCCGCGUGAGGGAUGAAGGCCCUCGGGUCGUAAACCUCUGUCGGGAGGGAAGAAAGCCGUGUUGAGAAUAUCUUCACGGUUUGACGGUACCCCUAAAGGAAGCGCCGGCUAACUCCGUGCCAGCAGCCGCGGU